UACGAAGGGGGCUAGCGUUGCUCGGAAUCACUGGGCGUAAAGCGCACGUAGGCGGACUCUUAAGUCAGGGGUGAAAUCCUGGAGCUCGACUCCAGAACUGCCUUUGAUACUGGGAGUCUUGAGUUCGGGAGAGGUGAGUGGAAUGCCGAGUGUAGAGGUGAAAUUCGUAGAUAUUCGGCGGAACACCAGUGGCGAAGGCGACUCACUGGCCCGAUACUGACGCUGAGGCACGAAAGCGUGGGGAGCAAACAGG
rnacentral:rRNA from 1 species